CAUGCCCUACGGGACGCAGCAGUGGGGAAUAUUGGGCAAUGGGCGAAAGCCUGACCCAGCAAUGCCGCGUGAAUGAAGAAGGUCCUAGGAUUGUAAAAUUCUGUCCUAUGGGAAGAAACAAAUGACGGUACCAUAGGAGGAAGCCCCGGCUAACUACGUGCCAGCAGCCGCGGUAAUACGUAGGGGGCGAGCGUUGUCCGGAAUUACUGGGCGUAAAGAGAGCGUAGGCGGCACUACAAGUCUCAUGGGAAAUACCCGGGCUUAACUUGGGGG
rnacentral:rRNA from 1 species